rnacentral:rRNA from 1 species
GAUGAACGCUGGCGGCGUGCCUAAUACAUGCAAGUCGAGCGAACAGACGAGGAGCUUGCUCCUCUGACGUUAGCGGCGGACGGGUGAGUAACACGUGGAUAACCUACCUAUAAGACUGGGAUAACUUCGGGAAACCGGAGCUAAUACCGGAUAAUAUAUUGAACCGCAUGGUUCAAUAGUGAAAGACGGUUUUGCUGUCACUUAUAGAUGGAUCCGCGCCGCAUUAGCUAGUUGGUAAGGUAACGGCUUACCAAGGCAACGAUGCGUAGCCGACCUGAGAGGGUGAUCGGCCACACUGGAACUGAGACACGGUCCAGACUCCUACGGGAGGCAGCAGUAGGGAAUCUUCCGCAAUGGGCGAAAGCCUGACGGAGCAACGCCGCGUGAGUGAUGAAGGUCUUCGGAUCGUAAAACUCUGUUAUUAGGGAAGAACAAAUGUGUAAGUAACUAUGCACGUCUUGACGGUACCUAAUCGGAAAGCCACGGCUAACUACGU